rnacentral:rRNA from 1 species
AUUGAACGCUGGCGGAAUGCUUUACGCAUGCAAGUCGAACGGUAGAGGGGGCAACCCCUCGAGAGUGGCGAACGGGUGAGUAAUAUAUCGGAACGUGCCCAGUCGUGGGGGAUAACGUAGCGAAAGUUACGCUGAUACCGCAUACGAUCUAAGGAUGAAAGCGGGGGAUCGCAAGACCUCGCGCGAUUGGAGCGGCCGAUAUCAGAUUAGGUAGUUGGUGGGGUAAAGGCUCACCAAGCCAACGAUCUGUAGCUGGUCUGAGAGGACGACCAGCCACACUGGAACUGAGACACGGUCCAGACUCCUACGGGAGGCAGCAGUGGGGAAUUUUGGACAAUGGACGCAAGUCUGAUCCAGCCAUUCCGCGUGCAGGAUGAAGGCCCUCGGGUUGUAAACUGCUUUUGUACGGAACGAAAAGGUCUCUCUUAAUACGGGGGACUCAUGACGGUACCGUAAGAAUAAGCACCGGCUAACUACGUGCCAGCCGCCGCUGUAA